AAAAUAGGCAAGGAUGUUUUAUGUCCAUUUUGAUCGAUGUGGAGGUUGUUCUUAGUAGAGAAUCUCUUGUACCUGAGGCAAUAUCAUUAAAUCCUUUGGGGAGAAGAAAUACUGUAUAUACUGAAUUAGAACUGCGUAUCAUCCCAGGCAGGUGGCCUGGGAUGUUUUAUUCCAGGGUUGUAUGUAUGACUGACAGACUGGAUCAACAGCUCGUGGGAAAGGCUGAUAUCCAUCUCUACAAGUUGUGCUUUCAGGCUACAAGCACAGUCUCCUAGUCCAUAGUGAAUUCUUGGCAAUUGUGAGUUGUAUCUAGCAAACACCAGAAUAAUUCCUCGGUUUUAUUAAAAAAGCAAACAAAACCCAAAAACCAAACCACUCUGAUCAACUCCAAUUUUACUCUUUCUCCAAAGGAGUAUUUGCUUUUGCUGGAGAAUGCAAACAUUUCUGUGCAAAAUUUUAAUUUUAUAGCCUAGAGUGUUGUGUGCGCCAGCUCUUUUUAAUUAUAGUACCCAGAAGCUUUAUAUACACCUGCUAGCUAAUUUGCAUGUGGCUCUUGUGCUAUUGGAAUAUUUUCCUUAUUCCUUGUAAGCUGACUAUCUGAAAUCACAAACUAUACACUAUUUCCAGUUAUUCUAAUAUUCAGAGGGCGGAGAUAAGAAUUUUUGUUGUCUUAGAUGUUAAUGAACAUAUUUUCACUGUAGUUUGAAAAGCAUCUGGAGCAGAAGCUGUGGGUGACUAAUUGCCUUUUUGGGUUGAUUUAUUUAUGUAUCAUCAUGGAGCUUGUUCCUGAUCAAAUUGUCAUACUUUGUGCUUGCUCUUUCUGGUGUGUGUGAUGGCCCUGUCAAGUAGAAGCAUCAGCCCUGUGAGAGGCUAUGUCAGUAUGGGCCUGAGUUUUGGGGCCGGUCAGUGGUUGCCCAUGAAUAAGGUGUCUAUGUGCCAAUGUCUGUGUCUUAGUUUUGUAAUAAUGGGUCUUCACUUAUAUUGCUGUGUGUAUAGGUAAAGUAAAGCAGAUGGUUGAUUAUCCUUUUUUCUAUACCUCCACUUUUCACCUUGUUUCAUUAAAUAAUUGCAAUCACUUUUGUUUCACUUUUAUUGACAAUGUAUUACUAAAUAUGCAUAGUCAUGCCUGCGGAGUGUUAUUUGGGUCAUACUGGCAAUAAGCAGAACAGCUGGAUGCUCAGGAGUUUCUGAUCAGUAUUAGAGCUUUACUUUUUU